rnacentral:rRNA from 1 species
GACGAACGCUGGCGGCGUGCUUAACACAUGCAAGUCGAACGAUGAAGCCUUUUGGGGUGGAUUAGUGGCGGACGGGUGAGUAACACGUGGGCAAUCUGCCCUGUACUUUGGGAUAAGCCUUGGAAACGAGGUCUAAUACCGGAUAUGACUGGCCUUCGCAUGGGGGUUGGUUGAAAGUUCUGGCGGUACAGGAUGAGCCCGCGGCCUAUCAGCUUGUUGGUGGGGUGAUGGCCUACCAAGGCGA